rnacentral:misc_RNA from 1 species
AAGUCGUAACAAGGUUUCCGUAGGUGAACCUGCGGAAGGAUCAUUACCGUGCCGGGGGCCCUUCGGGGUCCCAUUGUGCCACCCGUGUUUACUUGUACCUGUUGCUUCGGCGGGCCUGCGGGCCUCGCUCGCUGCCGGGGGACCCAGUCCCCGGGCGCGUGCCCGCCGGAGACACCCCAAACUUCUCUAACGGAUACGUCUGAGCAAAUGAUCUAAUCAUUAAAACUUUCAACAACGGAUCUCUUGGUUCCCA